rnacentral:rRNA from 1 species
UACGGAGGGUGCAAGCGUUAUCCGGAUUCACUAGGUUUAAAGGGUGCGUAGGUGGGCAGGUAAGUCAGUGGUGAAAUCUCCGGGCUUAACCCGGAAACUGCCAUUGAUACUAUCAGUCUUGAAUACCGUGGAGGUAAGCGGAAUAUGUCAUGUAGCGGUGAAAUGCUUAGAUAUGACAUAGAACACCAAUUGCGAAGGCAGCUUACUACCCGAAUAUUGACACUGAGGCACGAAAGCGUGGGGAUCAAACAGG